rnacentral:tRNA from 1 species
UCCCUGGUGGCUUUGAUGGUAAAGGAUCUGCCUGCAAUGCAGCAGACUUGGGUUCAAUCCCUGGUUUGGGAA